CUGCUUAGGGUUUCAUUUUUUCUUUUUUUUGGCUAGGGUUUAGUUGGGUUAGUUGGGCUGUUUUGGGUAUUAGGCUAAUGGGUUAAUAAUGGCUUGGUAUUGGGUUUUUGUAAUUUGGAUAUUAAUUAGGCUUUAUUUAUUUUUGUUUGGUUUUAUUUUUUUUUGUUUCUGUGGGCCUGGGCUAAAAUUUGGGUUCUACAGCUACCCCUUUUUGCUCAUUGUCUUGCAACGGGAAUGAAACAAAGACUUUAAUAGGGACAAAUUUCCCCGGUCUUACCGAGUAUUGACUUCUUUUGGUGAGUAGCUUCACUCCAACCGACUGUGUCUUCAAG
rnacentral:lncRNA from 1 species